rnacentral:rRNA from 1 species
GACGAACGCUGGCGGCGUGCUUAACACAUGCAAGUCGAACGGAAAGGCCCUGCUUUUGUGGGGUGCUCGAGUGGCGAACGGGUGAGUAACACGUGAGUAACCUGCCCUUGACUUUGGGAUAACUUCAGGAAACUGGGGCUAAUACCGGAUAGGAGCUCCUGCUGCAUGGUGGGGGCUGGAAAGUUUCGGCGGUUGGGGAUGGACUCGCGGCUUAUCAGCUUGUUGGUGGGGUAGUGGCUUACCAAGGCUUUGACGGGUAGCCGGCCUGAGAGGGUGACCGGCCACAUUGGGCCUGGGAUACGGCCCAGACUGCUACGGGAGGCAGGAGUGGGAGAUAUUGCACAAUGGGCGGAAGCCGUAUGCAGCAACGCCGCGUGGGGGAUGACGGCCUUCGGGUUGUAAACCGCGUUCGCCUGUGACGAAGCGUGAGUGACGGUAAUGGGUAAGGAAGCACCGGCUAACUACGUG